AGGGCGUUGAAGCAUGAUCGUAAGGACAUGUGGAGCGCUUAGAAGUGAGAAUGCCGGUGUGAGUAGCGAAAGACGGGUGAGAAUCCCGUCCACCGAUUGACUAAGGUUUCCAGAGGAAGGCUCGUCCGCUCUGGGUUAGUCGGGUCCUAAGCUGAGGCCGACAGGCGUAGGCGAUGGAUAACAGGUUGAUAUUCCUGUACCACCUAUAAUCGUUUUAAUCGAUGGGGGGACGCAGUAGGAUAGGCGAAGCGUGCGAUUGGAUUGCACGUCUAAGCAGUAAGGCUGAGUAUUAGGCAAAUCCGGUACUCAUUAAGGCUGAGCUGUGAUGGGGAGAAGACAUUGUGUCUUCGAGUCGUUGAUUUCACACUGCCGAGAAAAGCCUCUAGAUAGAAAAUAGGUGCCCGUACCGCAAACCGACACAGGUAGUCAAGAUGAGAAUUCUAAGGUGAGCGAGCGAACUCUCGUUAAGGAACUCGGCAAAAUGACCCCGUAACUUCGGGAGAAGGGGUGCUCUUUAGGGUUAACGCCCAGAAGAGCCGCAGUGAAUAGGCCCAAGCGACUGUUUAUCAAAAACACAGGUCUCUGCUAAACCGUAAGGUGAUGUAUAGGGGCUGACGCCUGCCCGGUGCUGGAAGGUUAAGAGGAGUGGUUAGCUUCUGCGAAGCUACGAAUCGAAGCCCCAGUAAACGGCGGCCGUAACUAUAACGGUCCUAAGGUAGCGAAAUUCCUUGUCGGGUAAGUUCCGACCCGCACGAAAGGCGUAACGAUUUGGGCACUGUCUCAACGAGAGACUCGGUGAAAUCAUAGUACCUGUGAAGAUGCAGGUUACCCGCGACAGGACGGAAAGACCCCGUGGAGCUUUACUGUAGCCUGAUAUUGAAAUUCGGCACAGCUUGUACAGGAUAGGUAGGAGCCUUUGAAACGUGAGCGCUAGCUUACGUGGAGGCGCUGGUGGGAUACUACCCUAGCUGUGUUGGCUUUCUAACCCGCACCACUUAUCGUGGUGGGAGACAGUGUCAGGCGGGCAGUUUGACUGGGGCGGUCGCCUCCUAAAAGGUAACGGAGGCGCUCAAAGGUUCCCUCAGAAUGGUUGGAAAUCAUUCAUAGAGUGUAAAGGC
rnacentral:rRNA from 1 species